rnacentral:rRNA from 1 species
AUACGGAGGAUCCGAGCGUUAUCCGGAUUUAUUGGGUUUAAAGGGAGCGUAGGUGGACAGUUAAGUCAGUUGUGAAAGUUUGCGGCUCAACCGUAAAAUUGCAGUUGAUACUGGCUGUCUUGAGUACAGUAGAGGUGGGCGGAAUUCGGGGGGUAGCGGUGAAAUGCUUAGAUAUCACGAAGAACUCCGAUUGCGAAGGCAGCUCACUGGACUGCAACUGACACUGAUGCUCGAAAGUGUGGGUAUCAAACAGGAUUAGAUACCCUGGUAGUCCACACAGUAAACGAUGAAUACUCGCUGUUUGCGAUAUACAGUAAGCGGCCAAGCGAAAGCAUUAAGUAUUCCACCUGGGGAGUACGCCGGCAACGGUGAAACUCAAAGGAAUUGGCGGGG